rnacentral:rRNA from 1 species
GUGCCAGCCGCCGCGGUAAUACCGGCAGCCCGAGUGAUGGCCGAUCUUAUUGGGCCUAAAGCGUCCGUAGCUGGCCGCGCAAGUCCAUCGGGAAAUCCACCUGCUCAACAGGUGGGCGCCCGGUGGAAACUGUGCGGCUUGGGAUCGGAAGAUCCGAGGGGUACGUCCGGGGUAGGAGUGAAAUCCCGUAAUCCUGGACGGACCACCGAUGGCGAAAGCACCUCGGAAGGACGGAUCCGACAGUGAGGGACGAAAGCUAGGGUCUCGAACCGGAUUAGAAACCUGGUAUCC